UGGGUCAAUAUCCCUAAUGGACCUUGAGAUGAGGAACACAGAUUUAUGACUCUCAUUAAAAAAUUAGUCCGCCAUACAAUCGUGGAAGCUGUGAUUUUAAAAAUUGACAUAAAUGAACUAGGACUGGUGUUUUAUAGAGCUGAUGUGAUGUGAAAAAAAGUAUAAAAAAAUAAACCUGAACAAAUAAUUACAAAGGACAUAUUUUUUAAUGAUUUUUAUGGUCAGAAUUUAGGGAUUAUUUCCUGAGGAGAGUGACAUUUUUCACUAUCGUUCGGGGUUGGGCACUUGACGGGAAAACGAAUCACACUUGCCACCCCGAAAAUCGCACCACACAUGUGCAAGUGUCUCAGCUUCAAAAUGAGCCAUCAUACAUAUCCAAGUUUACGAUAUGGCCUGAGCAACAGAAGAAAACGUUAACAUUACCGCCUAUGGAGAAUCUAUUACGCAUAUUGCCCCAAAUUGUGGCCUUGAAUUUCAAAGGUGAUGGAGUGUUUCAUGGCUCAGUGACCACAAUUUAGGAUGAUAGCUGCUGAAAUCAAGAUAUGGCUAAAACUUCACAGAAUUGUUCAGAAAUGUGUACUAAAGGGAUACAAACUGCAAUAUAAGUGGAAUCUGACAUAAGCUGAUCUAAUAUGGGUCAAUAUCCCUAAUGGACCUUGAGAUGAGGAACACAGAUUUAUGACUCUCAUUAAAAAAUUAGUCCGCCAUACAAUCGUGGAAGCUGUGAUUUUAAAAAUUGACAUAAAUGAACUAGGACUGGUGUUUUAUAGAGCUGAUGUGAUGUGAAAAAAAGUAUAAAAAAAUAAACCUGAACAAAUAAUUACAAAGGA